rnacentral:rRNA from 1 species
UACGUAGGUGACAAGCGUUGUCCGGAUUUACUGGGCGUAAAGAGCGCGCAGGCGGUCGAUCAAGUCGAGUGUGAAAGCCCCCGGCUCAACUGGGGAGGGUCAUUCGAUACUGAUCGACUCGAAGGCAGGAGAGGGUAGUGGAAUUCCCGGUGUAGUGGUGAAAUGCGUAGAUAUCGGGAGGAACACCCGUGGCGAAGGCGGCUACCUGGGCUGUUAUUGACGCUGAGGCGCGAAAGCUAGGGGAGCGAACAGG